rfam:Aedes albopictus isolate Foshan contig6576, whole genome shotgun sequence.
UGCCCAGCAACUCCUAUCCCUACCUCCUCGUGGUACCAGACGGAAACUAUGAGCAACCUUAGGGAAGA